UACAGCCUCAGGGGGGGGCACAAGCCCUGCUCAUCCCCCCCCCAGCAAUACCCGAGUGCAACUUCUCCACGGGGAGGCUGAAGGGCAUGCGACCUGAAAAUAAAUCUCAGCACAAACGAGUUCAGGAUGGACCCGACUGUGCGGCGAGCUGGGCAAGCUGUGCGUUCAAAGGAGGAGAUUUGGGGCAGGAUUUGCCCCAGAAACACCAAAUGAGGAGGGCUCAGGAUGAGUCCUGGGGGCAGGUCGCACCCCAACUUCUGUAGGGUUGUGCAUCUGCCUCCCUCGGGAAUCCCAUCAGCACUGAGGCUCCUGGCGUGGCUCACCCGUCGGUCACUUCUGGAGGAGCCCCGUCCUCCAUCUCCACCCCAGCCCUCGGUGCCCACCGGCUGCUUGCGUUGCCUUUUCUCAUCUCGGAGGGGGGUGGGAGGGGGGAGAGCGUGAGUUUGUAAACUAACGAUGUGGUGAAAACAGCUUUUUUUUGCACAAGUCGUUGCACAAUAAGGGGAAAAAUUAGUAAAUUAGGUUUAACUUUAAAGGGAACUUAUUUUUUUUUUUUUCGUUUUUCCUUAAAACUCACUAGCAGAGCUACUGAUUAAAAAACAGCGAGAAAAAGACGGACUGAUUAAAAAAAAAAACAAUGGACUGCAUGGUUUACAGGUUAAAUCGCGUUAGAAAUUAGCAUGUUGAUUCCGACUGUACAUUUAUCCUAUUGUAACUGCCAUUAAACAAUACCGCAUUUAACUGUU